rnacentral:rRNA from 1 species
GUGAGGAAUAUUGCGCAAUGGAGGCAACUCUGACGCAGCCAUGCCGCGUGCAGGAAGAAGGCGCUACGCGUUGUAAACUGCUUUUAACCGGGAAGAAACCCCAGGACGUGUCCUGGGUUGACGGUACCGGAGGAAUAAGCACCGACUAACUUCGUGCCAGCAGCCGCGGUAAUACGAAGGGUGCAAGCGUUAUCCGGAUUCAUUGGGUUUAAAGGGUGCGUAGGCGGAGCGUUAAGUCAGUGGUGAAAUCCUGCAGCUUAACUGUAGACUUGCCAUUGAUACUGGCGCUCUUGAGUGCGCUGGAAGUGGGCGGAAUGUGCCGUGUAGCGGUGGAAUGCUUAGAUAUGGCACAGAACACCAAUUGCGAAGGCAGCUCACUAAGGCGAUACUGACGCUGAGGCACGAAAGCGUGGGGAUCGAACAGGAUUAGAAACCCUGGUAGUCC